rnacentral:rRNA from 1 species
UACGUAGGGACCAAGCGUUGUUCGGAUUUACUGGGCGUAAAGGGCGCGUAGGCGGCUUGACAAGUCACUUGUGAAAUCUCCGGGCUUAACUCGGAACGGCCAAGUGAAACUGUCAUGCUAGAGUGCAGAAGGGGCAAUCGGAAUUCUCGGUGUAGCGGUGAAAUGCGUAGAUAUCGAGAGGAACACCAGAGGUGAAGACGGGUUGCUGGGCCGACACUGACGCUGACAGCGCGAAAGCCAGGGGAGCAAACGGG